GUAGGGAAUAUUGGUCAAUGGACGAAAGUCUGAACCAGCCAUUCCGCGUGCAGGAAGAAGAUUCUAUGGAUUGUAAACUGCUUUUAGCAGAGAAGAAACGCCUUCAUUGAUGAGGAUUUGACGGUAUCUGCGGAAUAAGCACCGGCUAACUCCGUGCCAGCAGCCGCGGUAAUACGGGGGGUGCAAGCGUUAUCCGGAAUCACUGGGUUUAAAGGGUGCGUAGGCGGGAAAUUAAGUCAGUGGUGAAAGUCUGUUGCUUAACGAUAGAAUUGCCGUUGAUACUGAUUUUCUUGAAUUGGGUUGAGGUUAGCGGAAUGUGACAUGUAGCGGUGAAAUGCAUAGAUAUGUCAUGGAACACCAAUUGCGAAGGCAGCUAGCUGGGCCUUGAUUGACGCUGAGGCACGAAAGCGUGGGUAGCGAACAGGAUUAGAAACCCUAGUAGUCC
rnacentral:rRNA from 1 species